AACACAAAUCACACCACUGGAGGAGUGGAAAACUUGGCAUUAUCCAUCCUAACAGCAUGCACUCAUGUCACUUGUAAACAGUUUCUUUCUCCUAGUAGGAGUAUUUCUAUCUCGUGGGAUAUUACUUCAUGUAAAUCGCGAGCCUCCCUGCUUUUAAGCAAUGAAGCUGGCUGCCAAUUUCCAAAGACCUCUGUGUGUCUCUCUCUCUCUUCAUAACUUUUUUUUUCUACGUAGAAGACGCCAUGCAACGCUGAUACAUGCACUUCUGCUUGGAAUAUUUGAUCGGAGUUCGCUUGUAUCGACGUUACUUUGUUUUCUGUCUGCGGUGGAAACAAUCCAAAAGUCAGGAGUCUAGGAGUAAAAAAAAUGAAGAUCGAGGACCAAACCAGGUCCCUUUUUGGGAUUUCCCUCUCCGAUCGGCCUAUAUGGCAGAAAUUCCUCGUUUGCUCUUCUGGAUUCUUCUUUGGCUACCUCGUUAAUGGCAUUUGCGAGCUAUGGUUGGUAUUUCACCUUUGUGCAAGGAUUUGUCUACCCGAUACUUAUAUACUUACAAGGAUUCACCACCAAGAAAAUGGUAAACCCUUGGAGGACAUGCGUGAAACUCUCUGGCUGUUCUUAUGGGUUCUCAUGGAUUAACAAAGGGGUCCUUGGCAUUUCUUAACUACCCAGAACAGGUCAUGUUCAAGUCAACAAAGGUAAAAGUAAAGGAAUCUGUAGUUUCAAGUUUUACCCUUUGUAUGCUUAACAGUGCAAAAAUUUUGUUGUAAUUUUGGCUUCUGCAUUUGGUAUGAUUCAAUUUGUUUUUAACUUUUUUUUGGUGAUUUUUACAAUAUCAAACAGCAUUCGACCAAACCAUUAAGGUAUUUACGUGGAUAUGUAUAAUACCAAGUCUAAGAUUCCAUCCCUUUUUCUAACAUAUAUUUGGUGAUUGUGUAAGAAUUCACGUCUUGCCGAUCAUGGCAAUGGGUGCUUUCAUUCCUAGCUUGAGAAAGAAAUACCCAGUUCACGAAUGCAUCUUUGCAAUGCUUCUAGUAAUUGGUCGGUCUGAUUCUUUUCACCUUAGCAGAUGCUCACACAUCUCCUAAUUUUAGCGUUAUUGGUGUUGGAAUGAUAAUAGGUGCUAUAAUCAUGGAAGCCUUCCUGGGAAAUUUACAAGAAGCAAUUUUUACCAUGAAUCCUAAUACCACACAAGUGACUAAUACGCCCUUGGGUUUAUGAAUGGAUACGUACAUAUAAUUCUUAAAAAAAUCAUUAUCUAUCCUUUUCUGGUUCAAAUUAUAAGUUUGUGUUUAUUAUUCUACCGAUAGACACAGAUGCUGUUUUGCUCAACAGUUGUCGGGCUACCUUUCUUGGUUCUUCCUAUGAUCCUAACAGGAGAGCUGGUUAAGGCUUGGAUUCUUGUUCAAAAGUAAGGAUGAUGCAAACCUCAUAUAUUACUUUUUCUCUUUGUAAUUGCAUUUCACAACUAAGAAUGCUCUUGGCUUCUUAAGUCACACAAUAUAGUGCCCACUAUGGCCACUUUAAAAAAUUUCUUGAUGAUGUCAUUGAAUUAGUAGUAGUCCAUUUCAUCAGUUUGUUUGAUGCUUAAUAGAACUUCACGGCUCUGAAUCAAGAGGGGCAUUUAGUAGUUUUAAGAGUAUGAAUUCAUCAGACAUUUAUAUGAUCAUAACAUCAUAAAUUGAUUAGAAAAUUGGAAUUUGAUAUUUCAUUGUGACCCCUCCUUAUAUUCUUCUUUGUUGUUAAUCAUUUACUGUCCUAAUAAUUUUCGUUUGUUUUUCCUCUUUUUUGGAUUGUUUGUAUAAUGUUUUGUGAAUGAAUUGUAGCAUCCUUACGUGUAUGGCGUGUUAGUGUGUAAAGCCAUGGCCACAUUUAUAGGGGCAAGUGUCUGUUUUGUCUCUCAUUGCCAUCUUUGGAGCUGCCACAACUGCUAUGGUAAAUAUAUAUAUAUAUAUAUACACACUUGUCCUUCAAUCUGCGUUUUGCUCUAUCGAUUAUGUUAUUUUUUAACAUUAUAAUGAAAACCUCGUAAAACUAGUUGGGAAUUCCACUACAAUGAAAUCACUUAAAACAUCAGAUCAGCCUUAUCAGGCAAGUAUCUAUUUUAUCUCCAAUUGCCAUCUUUGGGACUGCCACCACUACCUUGGUAAAUACAUAUGUAUCCUCUAAACUGCAUUUUGGUAUAUCGAUUAUGUUACUGAUUAAUGUUAUAAUGAAAGUCACUUAAAACUAACGAAGAAUUCUAUUGUAUUUCUGACACAGAAUUCGAGUUAUGCUAUUGUGUUUCUAAUGGCAUUUGAUAGAGUAAAUAUGUUUUUAUAUAAUCUGUAUUGAGGGCAUUUCUCCCUUACCUGCCUUACAUUAAAAUAUUAUCAGUGAGGAUUGUUUGUUCAGUACUUAAUGGUUCAAAUGUUGUGGGACAUUCAAUGAAAACUACUCAAGGAUCAUGGAAAUGCCCUAUACUAUAGAUCUUAGGAUGUCAUAACAGCACAUUUCGUGGAAUUAACUUUUGUGGAUUUGAUUGAUACUGGCAUGUAGGUAACUACUGCUAGAAAGGCUGUGACUCUGUUGUCAUACUUGAUAUUUACAAAGCCAAUAACCGAACAGCAUGGGACAGGACUAUUGCUCAUAGCCAUGGGAAUCGUUCUGAACAUGUUGCCCGAUUACAAACUUACAGAUCAGAGUGAAACGAAAUCCACCGUCGUGAAGCAGAGAAAACAUUCCUUCAAAGUCGACAAUAGCCUGCUAGAAAAUGAAGGGAGUGUGGAGAAAGAGAAACGACCUUUAGUACGAACAUAUAUAGAUAUAUAUAUUUUUUCAUUUUGCUAAUUGAAGUUCCCAUAGAAAGAGCGGAUAGUAGAAUGAUAUUAUCCAUUUUACCAUGAAAAUUGAUUGAUUUAAUAGAUGGAGUUUUUGAAA